rnacentral:lncRNA from 1 species
GUUCCACUGCAUUGCAAUAAAGAACAAUAUUGUUGACACCAGUUCUGCAAUAAAAAACGUUUUAGUAUUUUUACCGGUAGUCAUCUCACGGUUUCACCGUGUCAUUUUCACUGAGAUCACGCAGCUAAAGAAAUUAUUAGUGACAUAACUAGAAGUAGUGAAGACUUAUUCACAUCAAAAUAUUCCAAAAACUACACUGAACUACAAUUUCACGACUGUAAAUAUAACCUUAAUAUUUUGCAAAAUAAAGAGGUACAAACUUAGGAAUAGAUAUUCCUAUCCAUAUAAAGAAGAUAAAUACAUCAACGGCAAUAAGGAAGACAAUUACUAAUAAUUGAGCAUAAGAGGUAAACCAGCUUUGAGAGCUAAGUCCGCUUGAAGACGUCCAAGUGAUGAGCUGCAAUUCAUCGAAGAAUAUGAGUCAUUAAAUGAGUCUAAUAUAGGAGUCUAUCCUGGCGAAAAUAAAGCGGAAAUAAAGAGUUGAAUGUAAGUCGAAUGUAAAAGAAGAGUGACAGAAAUGUAAACAAAGCUUCUAGAGAGCGUAAAUUGGAACAGCGAAACAUAAAAGAAAUGUAAAACAUUUACGAAGCAUUUUAAUGCUUCUUUUACAUUCCAUUGUUCCAAUCUAUGCUUCCUAAAAGAUUUGUUUACACUUCUGUCACUCUUUCUUUUUUUGUUACAUUCGGCUUACGCUUAACUCUUUAUUUAUGCCUUAUUUUCGCCAGAGUACACAUCAAAGGAAAAAAAACGUUCUUUAAUAGAAAUUAAUAGAAAUUACAAAUCAGAUACAAUUCAAAUAAUGAAGCUGAUAAAGAGAAUAUAAAUGGCGGAAAUAGUAACUAUUUUUAAAUGUGAUAUUAGAUAAGUUUUCUGAAAAUGUUAUAGUUGAUUAAAUGAUGGCAAAUUUAUAUGAUUUAUUUAUGGCAAGUUUAAUAAAUAAUAAAAAAUCU